AUUGGUGUUUUGAGAAAAAGCAGGGCUUAGCUCUUAAUCUGUAAGACUUGAAAAUUCUUGUACUUCAUAAAACCAGCUUUCACUUCUAAGAAAAUUUUAUAAAUGUAAUAGGUUGCCAUUAACUUUUCAGUUAAGCAGUGUGUAAUCAGGCGAAGCGUAGUAGAUGAUAAUAUUUGAUUGCAUGUAACCGUACUAAGUGGUUUUGGUCUGCGCUGAUGUCCCUCUACAGCUUCAUCGCUGAAACACUGUAAGCUUUUGUGCAGCUUCUGCAAUCUAUUCAGUAUAGACCUAGCCUAUAAAUAGCUGCAUUAUUGAAAGACCGUGAGAGGUUCAUUAGAGAAGUUGUGACAGCCUCCUUUGAGCCAGGGCUGAUAUAGUACCACUCCAAGUUACCAAAGAGUUUCGGCAUGUGGGUAACACUAAGCACGAAGCUGGGCUUUUGGCCAUGCAGCAGCGUAGCUGCCCCACCGGUCGUCGUCCCCAUCACCCCGGCUGCGGAUUCUCACAAAGUACACUGCGCUUCUUGCCAGCUCCAGCCACGGGGAUUUCUUUCCAAACGAAAACACAACAGCAUGUGGGACCUCGUGGUCACGCCAACCUUGUCCCAGCCCAGAGCCGGGAUGCAGCCAAGGGCGUCUGCUGGGGACCGGGGGCGCAGGACAUCGUGCCCGCCGUACCUACCUGCCGGCGCAGCGGCAGCCAGGGAGAUUAGUCAUCUUAAAAUCACAGGCAGGCAGAAGUACUGUGCUGACUCAAUAGGAAGUCGCUGGCUGAAAUCAGUGGGACUUCUCACAUGAUUGAAGUUACAUGCUGAAAAUGUCUUAAUCCUGUGCACUGUAUUCACAUCACUGGGGAGCAAGGAAAGAAAAUUUGAAUGGCAGCUGAUGGCUGUUUUCUUUCAAAGCCUAUGAGUUCCAUCAGUAUAUUAAUUGUCUCUGUGUACUUGGGUUCACUUGGCUUUGAAAAGCAUCCGACGGAGAAGCAGCAUUUGGUCAACAUCGAGAAGAUCUGGUGAUUUAAACUCUGGAGCUGAUUUGGUCUUGGUGUUACCAAACAACAGAACCCAGCUCCCCCGUUCUGCUGUCCUUCACGUCGCCCUCGAACUGAGGCAGCACUCCACCGACUGCCUGGUCUUUAUCACCAGAUUUUCUGAAUGUUCAGCACCCGUAACAUUGCAGCAGAUUUUCAGAAGCGGGCAGCCAUCAGCUAUGGCAAUUACAGUUAGGGCCAAAUUCUCAAAAGAACUUGGCAUACUGCCCCAAAUCUGGUCCCAGGCAUGGAUACAUAGUGCUUUCCUGCAGGAAUCACAGCUCCGAUUUGGGGAGUCACCUAAUUCUGUGCCCCACAGAGGAGUCCCAGCUGGGAGGUGUGUGGUCAGGAUGAAGGUGGCAGAUACCUGCCUCUGUUUGCUGAGCACUUGCGCACCGUGCAAUGCAAUAUAAAUGAGCGUGUUCAGCCCAGCUGCCACACCGUAAACAAGCAUGAUGAAAGAACAUCGCAUCUAUGCCUGCUACUACCCAUCAGGACAUUAUCUCUGCUCCCUUGCCUCCAUCGAGGCCUGGAGAUGAAGUACUGCCUCGUAUACACCCCACUCAUGAAAUGCCUUCCCUGGCUGGCUGUUCCCAGUCCAGGAUUAUCCAUCAGCUGCAGGACACAGCUGCUUGGCAAGGGAGUCAGUGCACCAUGAGAAGGCCUGGCAUUUUCUGUCCCUUACUAAGCAUUUUCUCCACUUGUCCCUUAUAUUUCUGUCGUGGUUUAACCCCAGCUGGCAACUCAGCACCACGCAGCCGCUCGCUUACCCCCCCCAAGCCAGUGGGAUGGGGGAGAGAAGCAAAAACCAGUAAAACUCGUGGGUUGAGAUAAAGAUAUUUUAAUAGGACAGAAAGGAAGAAUUUAAUAAUAAUAAUAAAGGAACUGGAAUAUACAAAACAGGUGAUGCAUGAUGCAAUUGCUCACCACUCACCGACCGAUGCCCCCCAACCAACUCCCCCCAGUUUAUAUACUGGGCAUGACAUCACAUGGUAUGGAAUACCCCUUUGGCCAGUUUGGGUCAGCUGCCCUGGCUGUGUCCUGUGCCAACAUCUUGUGCCCCUCCAGCCUUCUUGCUGGCUGGGCAUGAGAAGCUGAAAAAUCCUUGACUUAGUCUAAACACUACCCAGCAACAACUGAAAACAUCAGUGUGUUAUCAACAUUCUUCUCAUACUGAAUCCAAAACAUAACACUAUACCAGCUACUAGAAAGAAAAUUAUCCCAGCUGAAACCAGGACAAUUUCUUUUCUCCUUAUAGUUAUUGGUCCUUUUUUAACACAGCAUCAUUUUGGGGAAAGAAAAUCCAUCCCUGUCUCCUCCUCCCUCUCAUGCAGCAGCUCUCGACUCCAGUUGGACUCUGCUUGGAUUUCUUCAGGAGUUAGCUCAACACCCUGCCAAAGCCACAGGUAUCUCCCCCAGCAACUUGUCCCUGACCAUCUUCCUCCCCUUCCCCAGCUGCUCUCGCAUCGCUCACAGGUGAUACUGCCCUGUUCCUGGUAGCCUGGCUUAUUUGGCUGGGCUGGAAUGACGCUGAAAAACAAUGGAAAAAAACCCUCAGAAAAGGUCUUUCCUCCAAGGAAAAUUUUCUUCUUUAAAUAGGCCCUUUGCAUUUGGGAGGAAAAAUACAAUUUUUAUCUCAUUAACGUACGAUUCCCCAGUCAUCUGCACUUCUGAGCUCUGUAGCUAUUUUACGUUCGUUCUGAAUACAUAUGAUUUAACCUGGAGCUAUGAUGUAUAGAGUCAGACUACGGGAAAAGGACUGGAGACUCUGUAUUAGUAAUCAGUUCGGCUUUAUUUCACUCAGCAGUGACACUGGACAAUAACAACUUCUUACAAGUAAUUUUGGACUGAACAAGAUACAUCUGUCCCUGUGGUGCACUGGAGAUGCACCCGUCUGCACCACGAGAACUGUCGUUGUCUCCUCAUCUAUCACUUCCCACUUGUGGCAUCACUUCAUCUAAUCAACAGUAACUUGCCGUCUGCACUGCCAAGAAACUUUGAAAAUGUUCUGAAUUUUGUACCAGGAAAGGCCAUAAGGUGCACUUUGUGUGUCAAAUAUCUCAGAAAUUAGUUCUGGGCUACUGCAAACUCUUACCCAAAAUACAUGGGGAUACAGUUCUAU